GACCUGCGGAGGAUCAUUAUCGUGGGGCUCCGGCCCCGUCGAGAUAUCACCCUUGCCUUUUUCGAGCACCGUUCCGUUUCCUCGGCAGGCCCGCCUGCCAACGGGGACCCCAACCAAACCCUUUUGCGUACCUGCAACCGUCUGAGAAACAAGCGAAACAAUCAAAACUUUCAACAAUGGAUCUCUUGGUUCUGGCAUCGAUGAAGAACGCAGCGAAAUGCGAUAAGUAGUGUGAAUUGCAGAAUUCAGUGAAUCAUCGAAUCUUUGAACGCACAUUGCGCCCUUUGGUAUUCCUUAGGGCAUGCCUGUUCGAGCGUCAUUUCAACCCUCAAGCGCAGCUUGGUGUUGGGCGCCCGUCCCGCCCCGCCCGGGGCGCGGACCCGCCUCAAAUGCAUUGGCGGCCGGCACCCUGGCUUCGAGACGCAGCAGAAACGCGGACUCGGGGCCUCGGGGCCGAUCCCCCAGAAGCCACAUCACUACGGUUGACCUCGGAUCAGGUAGGGAUACCCGCUGAACUUAAGCAUAUCAAUAAGCGGAGGA
rnacentral:rRNA from 1 species